rnacentral:rRNA from 1 species
GACAGAGGGGGCAAGCGUUGCUCGGAAUCACUGGGCGUAAAGGGCGCGUAGGCGGGAGGACAAGUCGGUCGUGAAAUCUCCGGGCUCAACCCGGAGGAGUCGGCCGAAACUGUUUUUCUUGAGGGAGGCAGAGGAGUCUGGAAUUCCCGGUGUAGCGGUGAAAUGUGUAGAGAUCGGGAGGAACACCGGUGGCGAAGGCGGGACUCUGGGCCUACCCUGACGCUGAGGCGCGAAAGCUAGGGGAGCAAACAGG